GUGAAUUUCAUGCUGCUGUUGCAAUUAUGUGCUUUCCAGGCUUCAGUACCUGAGAAAGUAAUCCAGAGGAUUACAGUGGUAGAGAAGCAGUGCCCUGCCUGAUUUUGGUGAUGCAACAGGCGCCGGUGAAGAUAACAUUGCUUUGGUAGAGAGCUGAUUUUCAAAUAUUACCUACAGGACAAAUCCUAUUGAAGAGGCUAAAUUUUCCCAGACAGCUGGUAAGUAAUCUUUUAUCAUUUCCAUCUUGAUCUUUGCUGCCUGAAGAAAGAACAUUUCAUCUGGUGU
rnacentral:lncRNA from 1 species